CCUACGGGAGGCAGCAGUGAGGAAUAUUGGUCAAUGGUCGGGAGACUGAACCAGCCAAGCCGCGUGAGGGAUGAAGGUACAGAGUAUCGUAAACCUCUUUUGUCAGGGAACAAAGGCGGGGACGUGUCCCCGGAUGAGUGUACCUGAAGAAAAAGCAUCGGCUAACUCCGUGCCAGCAGCCGCGGUAAUACGGAGGAUGCGAGCGUUAUCCGGUUUUAUUGGGUUUAAAGGGUGCGCAGGCGGUCUGUUAAGUCAGCGGUAAAAGCCCGGGGCCCAACCCCGGCCCGCCGUUGAAACUGGCAGUCUCGAGUUGGAGAGAAGUAUGCGGAAUGCGCGGUGUAGCGGUGAAAUGCAUAGAUAUCGCGCAGAACUCCGAUUGCGAAGGCAGCAUGCCGGCUCCACACUGACGCUGAGGCACGAAAGCGUGGGUAUCGAACAGGAUUAGAUACCCUGGUAGUC
rnacentral:rRNA from 1 species